rnacentral:rRNA from 1 species
AGACGGAGGGCGCAAGCGUUGUUCGGAAUCACUGGGCAUAAAGAGUACGUAGGCGGUCUGCUAAGUCAGAUGUGAAAGCCCUGGGCUUAACCCGGGAACUGCAUUUGAUACUGGCAGACUUGAGGACAGCAGGGGUGAGUGGAACUUCAGGUGGAACGGUGAAAUGUGUAGAUAUCUGAAGGAACACCGGUGGCGAAAGCGGCUCACUGGGCUGUCUCUGACGCUGAGGUACGAAAGCUAGGGUCGCGAACGGGAUUAGAAACCCUAGUAGUCC